AUAAUUUUAAUUUGUAUACGUAAAAAAAUACGUGGGAAGCCGCUUCUAACUUCUAACUAAUAGUUAAAUUAUGAAUGCGUAAAAAUGAUGGUUGAGAGAAAAAAAUGAAAAUAGGCAUAUAAUCGUAUAAAAAAAUACUUUAAACUAAUUUUAUCAGUAAGUCAACUAUUUGAAUAAUUAACCAUCCAUUUCUGGGAUGGUCCGUACGGUUUUACCGUUCCGACAAUGUCCCAGUUGUUCCACCAUCCAUCUGGGAUGUUCCUAAACCGCACGUUUCUAUGCGACAUUUAGCCGAUAGUUUCAAAAUGUAGCGCCAAUAGGCUAUUCAUACUGACGACCAUCCACCAUCCAUUCCGGGGAUGGUCAUUAAGGUUUUGCCGUUGCGAAAAUUUCCCAGCUAGUUCCCCCAUCCAAUUUUGAUGUUCCUAAACCGCACGUUUCUACGCGAUAGUUAGUCCAUUGUUUUCAAAUGCAACUCUGAAUAAUUUUCCUUCACAACGAAAAAAAUGGUAUUCACUGCGUAAAGGUAAACAGUGAUUGUGACAAAAUUAACAAAAAACAACAGCAAUAACAGCAGCAGAAGACAGAACAAAAUAGCGUAGCGUUUAUAAAUAAAUAAAAAAUCGAAGAAUCAUCAGAAAAUUCCUCCAGCAGUGCAUAUACGAGAACAGCUGGCAGCAGGUUGAAAUGGACCGCUGCACUAGAGAACCUGCUAAUCGACAUCUGGCAGUAAGCAUAAGCAUUACAGGGAGGUUUACUCCGCAUAUUUCCUUCGCUUUCUCUGGAAGUAAUGCCGAUGCUUCGAUACGCUUUGCAAGGCUUGCCUUCUGGUAUAUCAUCGAGUCAUUGCACCUUCCUGCGGACCCGAUAUUUACAUAUGUAAAUCUGUAUCUAAAAAGAAUCGAAUUUAAAUAAUUUCUGACAUUCAACCAACUUGAUAAAUACAUAUUUUUGUGCAAGAUAUUUGCAUACUUGUAAUCCAAAAGGGCAAACAAGUCUGUGUAAUAACAGCCCUUAUAGUUAUGGUGGUCCACUGCCUCAGCUGCUGGUAGUUUUAUUUCGAUGUGGCAUCCAUCUAGAAUAAAAAGGAAGUUUAAAAACCAAUUUUUAUGUAAAUAUAUUACGGAAGUUCCUAUUGAUUUCUUACCAAUUGCACCUAGGCUCUGAGGAAACCCAAUUGCCUGGAAUCCCUUCACGAACUCAGCAAUUUUUUCGGAUGUUAGGUAAUUGGGCGAAAUGUAAUCCUCCAAAAACUCGCCGAUAAGUGCUCUGCAGAACUCGUUCAGGAUAUUGCACACACCGUUUGGAGCCACACCGAAAAGCCUGCCAACUGUUCUGUACUCAAAGGACGAUCCCAACGGGUGUAGUGCAAUGGCGAUGUGCUACGAUUGCAGCUCGGCAGUUUGUAUCCUUCUUCCGAAGCAAUUGCAGCCGAUUCACUAAAAUCUCAAAGCACUGCCUCUCUAUUCGAAAACUCUCUUUGACAAACUCCUCGUUGUUUUCAGGUACAUCUUUCUCCCAAAAUGUCCCGAACCGCUUGUAAAAACAUACAAUAUGUCCUUACACUUUAAACUUUGGUGGAAGUUAGUAGAAGAAGUACUCACAAACGACCACAACCUUCCUGGCUUCUGUUUUUUAGGGCAGAUGCCCAGUAAAUCAUCUCAUCCUCGUCAAAGUUAAAUUCAUCAUCUUCAUCAUCAUUCAUUUGCAACAACAUUAUUAGUUGAUGCAAGAAAAUAUUUUGCUGUUGAACCACAACCAAGAUAAUUGUCUUCAUUAUCCAUUUUAAGAAAAAAAAAUUUAUAAAUCUUCCGCGCAAAAAUAUUGUGUACUUGUCGGCAUCAGCUAUUUUUGACGGAUGGUGGAUAAUGCCCGUGUGAAUCGGAGUUUCACAUCCAUCAAAAAAUCCCACCGUUCCUCCGCGAUGGGCUCAGUGUGCAGAGCCUAUUAUUGAAUUAACUUAACUAUCGAUAGGUAACUCAAGUCAGUGCAAAUAGCCUAUUAUAGACUAUGCACACUAAGCACAUCCCGGGGGAACGGUGGGAUUUUUUAUGACGGAUGUGAACCCCCGAUUUACACUCGCACCAUCCACCAUCUACCAUCCGCCAAAGCAGCUGAUGAGCAUAAAAAUAUAAAUUUUUGGUUUGAAUUGUGAAGAGUUCACAAUUUUAAAUUAUAUAUUAAUGACUAUAAGAAAACAAUCCAUAAAUGUACAAUAAACGUUACUCUUUGGACUCCCUUAAAAAUUGCAGCAGCUUUGUUUGGACGUUGAUUUGGCCUUGGCUGCUCGCAGUUUUCUAAAGUACCUCCCGCUUUGUUUCCUGGUGCUCAUCCUGUAAUUUCUGCUGCUCCUGCUGGACAUCAAGCAAUCUCCAGAAGAUUUCACAGCUUAAUCCACUUUGGUGUGGCACCUUGUUUGCAGAAAUAAUACUUGAGCCGCAGUUUGAUCUGUCCGGUCGACAUUAACGGAAUUAUUUCGGGACCUCCGCAAAUCAAUCAUGCCAAAUUUUUAUAGAGAUAUUUUCAAUAUAUGCAGGCCAUUUCAACUUG